UGCGGAGUAGCCAAGCGGAACGGCGCUCGUCUCUGGAACGAGUCAUGCGAAGGUUCGAAUCCUUCCUCCGCAGCCA
rnacentral:tRNA from 1 species